UCCAAUUUAGCAUCAUCCGUGGUAACGACAGCUGGCAGGCAAAGAACAGUGUUUCCUCCAGUAUGCCUUGAAGCGGGAAUUUUUCCGCGCAAAUCCAUCUCAAAUUCAAAUUCCCUCUCUUCCCUUUUACUUUUGGUGAUUGAACAUUAAGAAGCAACAAAAGCAAAGAAAACAAAACUUCAGGGAUCUUCAUCAUCACGAAGAUCAUCUUUUAUGAGGGAGAUUUGCUACUUGCAACUGAAGAAGAGGCUAUUUUAGGACGAGAUAUCUCCACCAUUUCAAAUUCAUUCCCUUUCUCCUCUUUACUCUCAAGUCUCACCAGAUUUCAACUCCCCAAAACGUACCUUCCACUUCAAAACAAACCCUAAACCCCUUGAUACUCCAAUUCUUGCUCCGCCAUUUCACUCGGCACCUACAAGCUCAACAUCUUGCUCCGCCCUUUAUCUUCGUGUGACCUUGAUUGGUGACUCUAUUCAUGCUAUGUAGCCAAACAUGGGUCAAGGAGAAGCUGUACCUAUAUCUCAUUGUUGCAUAAAAAUCUAAUAUAGGAUCUGUACUCUGAGACUCCUACGAAGAAAUCUGACUUUGGAGAUCACUGGAAGCUUGGAAUCGAGGAUGGUGCGAAGCCUCAGGUGUACAAUGAAAAGCAUGAGAAGCUGCAUGAACUGGAGUGGGUUCUCAAUAUAGGCCUUUGAGAAUCUCUGGGGAUUCGUUCGUCUUUCCCUUACAUCUGCGGUUAUGCUCUGGCUUGACAAUGGGAUUAUCUGCAAAGACAUCUAUGAAGAUGUGAAAAAGUGACAAUGUUUCGGAUGACUACUGUGAUAUGGAGCUUGACGAGAUGGAGCAUGCAAAAGAUGAUUUUGAUGUCAAUGAUUAUGGUGAGGAGGAUGAGAAAGAACAAGGAGAAGAGGAAGAAUGGAGAGGAAAGAACAAUUGUGGAAGACCAAAGUGGAUGGAAUAAUGAUAAGAUGGAACAACUUGAGAUACAAAUGUCCCAAAUCAGAGAGAGAAAGAGAUGUAUAUGACAAGUUUGGCUACACCUAUCAGAAUAGAGAACAGAAUAAUAAAUAUAUAGGGAUUCACCCUCGACUUAAAGCUAAGAUCAAAGGUGUAUUUGUGCUGCAGUUUAAUGACAAGACUAUUUUAUGUUGUAUUAUCUGGCAAGGGUUUACACUAUUGACACAAUCUUAAAGGUGAAAAUAUAAUUGGAGAUGAACUGUAUUCAAUCAUCCUUAUGCUUUGUGCCGCUAUUAUGCUUUAGAAGAGAGUGAGUCGACCCUAUGGAAGUUGAAAAUGAGGCUUCAGAAAAUCAAAGGAAGAACUCAAGAGGCACAGGUGGCAAUGAAAACCAUAACAACAAAAGCAAGUAUAAUGCAUAAAAAAAGGGGUAAAUAAAUGAAAAUUUUAUUUAUUAAGAGAUAGUAUAUAGAAUUAAUCAGGUAUAAACUCUUUUGGUUGAAUUUUAUAUAAUGAUAGAACUAUUCAAUUUUUUAUGAUAAUUUUUGCUGCAUUUUUCAAGGAAAAUCAAUUGGGUGUUCAUUAUUUGAAUGCAAAUUAAGAUUUCAAAGAUCAAUGAUUUGCUUAUACAUUUCUAGAAUAAUUUAGUAAAAAUUAAAUAUGCUCUUUUGCAGCAAAAUAUAGGCUCUUAUUUUAUUUUACUUUACUUUUUAUUCUGUAGCUUAAUCAGCACUUUAUUGCUGAGGCUACAAAUGUGAAUGCUAAAUGUGCAUAGUUCAUCAUUUUUGUUAUGCAUAACACUUCUAAAUAUGGCUGGCACUCUUGCAUGUGUUUUAGCAUUCAACUCAUUUGUACUACCUCAUAAUUGAUUUAACAAAUAUUCUCUUACUUGAUAAACCCAACUAUUUUCUUGCUUGAUGAACCAACCAAUCACGUUGGUAAUCCUACCCUCCCUUAUGAAAAGCCUUUUCUUUGUUGAGGUGCUGUUUUAUUUGAUGGAUUUUUCUAUUGGCUCACCUAUAAUUUUGACUUAAAAAGAUACGUGGAUCAAUUAUUAGAAAAUCAAAGUUGAAAUUGACCUCAAAGACCACAAGGUUCAUUUAUAUUGCCUAUUUGAUCUUUAUCUUAUGUGGUUGA